rnacentral:rRNA from 1 species
GUCUAUGAUCAUACCACCCUGAACGCACCCUAUCUCCUCUGAUCUCAGAAGCUAAGCAGGGUCAGGCCUGGUUAGUACUUCGAUGGGAGAAAAAAUAGAUGACAAUGAAU